rnacentral:misc_RNA from 1 species
AAGUCGUAACAAGGUCUCCGUUGGUGAACCAGCGGAGGGAUCAUUGUUGGAAUAGAUGCCCUCACGGGUACUAUCCAAAACCCUUUGUGAAUACUACCUAAUCGUUGCCUCGGCAUAGUUGGCUUCCUACGGAAGUCCCUUUUCCCUAUGGGAAAAGGAGCAGGCUUGCCGGUGGCCCCCACAAAAUCUUGUUUCGUUGAAUUUUGAUACUAUCUAUCGUAGAUGAACUAAAAACCAAAAAACAAAAUUAAAAAUUCCAAAAAACCUU